CUCGUCUCCUUGGAUAGACCAUUCUCUUUUUGUUUCUCUCUCUCACCUCUCCCUUCUAUCUCUUUGAUUUUCACCUCAAUUCUUCUAGCCGAGAAGGCGAGAAAAAAAUUAAUCCCCCAAAAGAUCAAUGGCAUCACAAGAUUCACAACUAACCCAAUUUGCAAAUCCAAGGUUACGUACAAAAGGUUUUAUAUAUCACUAGCUAAGGGGGUUUAGGGGUUUAAGCGAAUUUAAGCCGCCGAAAAUUCCAAGCAGGCUCUCAUAUCACCUUUGGGACUGUACAAGAUAAGAGGACCAGCCGCCACACCCAAUUUCAGGAAUGAAUCAUUUGAACUACCAAUGAAGGAGUCACCUUCACUUAGACCGAAUUUCUUCUUUGCCUUGCCAAUGUGAAUAUUUUCAUCCUCAACUUUACACAUCUCCUUCUCUUGUAAUAUUAUUUAUUUAUAACUAUCAUUUAAAAAUAUCCAAAAUACUAUUAUUAUUAUUCAUUAUUAUUACUUAUUUUUAUAAUUAUUAUUUAAUAUUCAUAUUAUUAUUAUUUAAAUAUUAUUUAUAUAUUUAUUGCAUUCAAUUUAAUUCAAUUCAAUUUAAUUUAAUUCAAUUCAAUUCAGUUCAGCUUCAAUCAGUUCAGUUCAGUUAUUUUAUGCCGAAGAGAACAUGCCCUAACGAAGCAUUUAACAACUAAUCUAAUAAAAAUAAUUAAAAUAAAGCAAUAAAAGAGGAGAUAGAGUAAGAAAUGUUCAUUGAUUAAUGGUUAAAGGUUUCGAUACAAAUAUCACCCUUGAAUUUACAAUCUUCCAUCUUUCUUUGAGUUUUCUCCCUUUUCUCCCUAAACUAAUCUAUGGAGGCUAAACCUCCUUAAAACCCUAAAAAUUAUUCUAAGAACUAAGAGUGCUGAAUAAUAAAACUAGGCUAAAAAAAACUCCCUUCUUCUAAAAAGAUAACUUAAGGUAUUUAUACUCCUAAUAAGAAGGAAAAAAGGGAAAGAAAAUAUAAAACAAAGAAAGAAAUAAAAGGAAAUGGAAGAAAACGGAAAAGAAAAUAAAAUAAAAAGAAUGAAAGAAAACGUGUGUGAAACUGUGAAGUAGAGUAAGGCUAUGUUUAGUUCACCUGAAAUUUUCUGAUCUGAACUUAUCUGAUCUGAUCUGAACUUAUUUUUUCUGAUCAGAUCUGAUCUGAACUUAUUUUUUCUGAACUGAUCUGAUUACAAGAUCUUAUCUUUUAGAUUUCUCUCAAUAUAUAUGAAAAAAUAUAGUCAUGUGGGGUCUUGUUUGAUUCGUCUCAAUGAGUACUUUAUUAAUAUUCAAUUAUUAUAAUUUUUACUAAUAUGUAAUGAGAGAUAUUUAAUAGUAAAAAUGAGUUUUAAAACUAACUGAUCUGAUGUGAACUUAUUUUUCUGAUCUGAUCUGAUCUGAUCUGAUUAGAUCUGAAAUAAGCAAAAAUAAGGUGAACUGAACAUAGCCUAACUGUAGAAAACAAAAAGGAAGAAAGAAAUGAAAAAGGUAACCAAAAACAAACCAAAGCAUCAGACCCUCAUCUUCUUCACUGGGAUUUCUUCCUUGCUUCACUACAUCAUCACUCAUGAUCAACGGCCCAUCAUCGACGGUCCAUAUCAUCAUCAAAUAAAUCACGACCAUCGAUUUUCGAUAUCAAUUUGAUCUCUGUCGCUAAUUCAUGGCGUACGAAGCAAUCGUAAGAUGCUAGAUAAGAACACAUGUGGCAAAUUCAAACGAAGCGUCCUCUCCGUUUAACAGAGGAGCGGCCGCUCCCUUCUGGCUUGGGCAGAUUGCGCAUAUGUAGUUGGUGAUUCUGCAGUGGAGUGAUUUUCAACAGUUGGGUGGUGUUGUUGGUGUUAUGAGUUAGGAGGAUGGUGGUGUUGCAUUGUGGUAUAGUAAAGGGUUAGUGUGGUGUAGGAUAUGGAAUAGCGUGGUGUAUGAUAUGCUUUGUAUGGUAAUUUCAAAUCUCACACUAUAUAUCCAACAAGCUCACCUACAAGCAAAACCAAACAUGGAGGAAAAAAACGAGACAUGUACAAAUAAUAAUAACUAAAAGGAAAGAAAAUUAGAGAAUUAAACUAAACAAUCUAUAAAUUAUUAAAACAAAGAAAAUACAUAAAUUAUGAACUUAAGAGCUAAAAUCUAUUAAAAACAACUAAUUACUCCAAUCAAGCUACAAAAUAUAAAAAGAAGAAAUAAAGACUAAAAUAGGUAGAAAUUUAUGAAAAUAACUAUGAAAACAAUGUAAAAACUACUCCUAUAAGUGACAUAAAUGUCACUUAUCAAUAAUACAACUCCUAUAUAUAUAAUAUAGAGAAUAGGGGUGUUAAUGAGCCAGGGUGGCUCGCAAACUAUUCGAGCUCGGCUCGGUCAAAGUUCGGUCAAAGUUCGGUCAAAGCUCGGCUCGUGAGGGCUCGAUUCGAGUUCGGGAUCGGCUCAAGAUGCUAACGAGCCGAGCCUGAAUACCUUAAGCUCGGCUCGAAAGCUUGUGAACAGGCUCGAUACUUUUUGAAUUAUUUAAAAUAUUCCAUUAAUGUAUAAUUAAGGAUAAAAUUAAUAACUAUGGGAAAAAAUAAUAGUGUUGGACUUAAUGACAACAAUAAAAAAAAAGCUAAAAUAAAUAACUAUAGGAAAAAAUUACAGGACUUGGACUUGAAGACAACACUAAAAGGUUAACAUAAUUAGAAAACACCAAAAAAAUUACCUUAAAAAAGCAAAAAAAAAAGAAAACUUAAAAAAAAAGCAAAAACAGUAAAAGAAAAGUUACUGAUGCAGUUUAGCUAAAAAAAAAAAAACAUUAAUGCAAUAGUACAAGUGUACAGCACGCAAUAUCAAAGAAGCAAAAGGAAAAAAAAGGCAUUUGAGUUGAUUUCUUCUAAAAGCAAACAACAAGGACUAGUAUCUCAUAUUCCACAUCCCACAUCGCUAGAAUAUAGUAAAGUAUGUGCUAAAUGCUCUAUAAAAGAAAGUUGUGAUUGAGUAAUCACUUACAAGUUACAGCUGACCUUUUAUUUCUUUGGGUCAAGGAGUUAACAUAUUAGAUUAUUGGGCUUUUAAACAUUGGGCCUCAUAAAAUUUGACUUAAACUCGCUUUAGCUGAAUUUUAAUUUUCGAGCUUUUCGAGCCUAACAAACUCGAGCCGAGCCGUAAGUUCGGGACUCGAGCUUGAGUCGAGCCUAAUAUCUGAAGCUCGACGAGCUUUGAGCUCGAGCCUUAUUAAACAUGUUUUCGAGCCGAGCCGAGCCUGGUCAAGUUUGGUCUCGGUUCGGCUCGUUAAUACCCCUAAUACUCGAUCUCCUUGUUCACCAAAUAAUAGAUUCUCAUAUCAUGUCCUCCAUAACGUUUGGGUAUGUCCCAAAAUUGGUACUCAUCAUCAGUAAAGUAAAUACAAUUGCUUUUACAAUUUUUAGUAAAUGAUGCACGAACCGACAUAGGACAAUUGUUACCCACAAAUAAUGAGAGAUCACCUAUGUCUUUAA